ACUUUUAAUAAUAGAUCUCUUGGUUCUAGUAUUAAUAAAGAACGCAGCGAAAUGCAAUAAGUAGUGUAAAUUGUAGAAUUUAGUGAAUUAUUAAAUCUUUAAACGCACAUUGCGCCCCUUAGUAUUCUAUAGGGUAUACCUGUUUAAGCGUUAUUUGUACCCUUAAGCUCUGCUUAGUGUUAGGUGUUUAUUCUACUUAGGACUUGCCUUAAAACAAUUAGUAGCUAGUAUAUUAGCCUAGAGCGCAGCACAUUUUACGCCUCUUGUUAUAGUUGUUAGUAUCUAUUAAGACACUUUUUAAGCUCUUAACCUUAGAUUAGGUAGGGAUACCUACUAAACUUAAGCAUAUUAAUAAGCGGAGGAAAAGAAACUAAUAGGGAUUGCCCUAGUAACGGCAAGUGAAGCGGCAAUAGCUUAAAUUUAAAAUCUAGCUCUUUUAGGGUCUAAGUUGUAAUUUGCAGAGGGCGCUUUAGCGUUAGCAGCAGUCUAAGUUCCUUAGAACAGGACGUUACAGAGGGUAAGAAUCCUAUACGUGGUCGCUGGCCUUCGCUAUGUAAAGCCCCUUUAACAAGUUAAGUUGUUUAGGAAUGCAGCUCUAAAUAGGAGGUAAAUUUCUUCUAAAGCUAAAUACUAGCUAGAGACUAAUAGCGCACAAGUAGAGUGAUUAAAAGAUAAAAAGCACUUUAGAAAGAGAGUUAAAUAGCACGUGAAAUUGUUGAAAGGGAAGCGCUUGUAGCUAGACUUGCCUAUAGUUGCUUAUCUAGGCUUUUGUCUAGUGCACUCUUGUAUAGGUAGGCUAGCAUUAGUUUAGGUGGUUUAGAUAAAGGUCUCUGUCACGUACCUCCCUUUAGGGAGGCCUUAUAGGGGAGACAACAUGCAACCAGCCUAGACUAAGGUCCGCGUAUCUGCUAGGAUGCUAGCGUAAUAGCUAUAAGCGGCCUAUCUUAAAAUAUAGACUAAGGAGUCUAACAUCUAUGUAAGUGUUUAGGUGUUAAGCCUAGACGCGUAAUAAAAGUGAAUAGAGGUAGGAACCCUUUUAGGGUGCACUAUUAACUAAUCCUAAUAUCUUUAGAAGGAUUUAAGUAAGAGCAUAGCUAUUAGGACCUAAAAGAUGGUAAACUAUGCUUAAAUAGGGUGAAGCUAGAGGAAACUCUAGUAGAGGCUCGCAGCAGUUCUAACGUGCAAAUUGAUUAUUAAAUUUAGGUAUAGGGGCGAAAGACUAAUUAAACUAUCUAGUAGCUAGUUCCUACUAAAGUUUCCCUUAGGAUAGUAGUAACGUAUUUAGUUUUAUAAGGUAAAGCGAAUAAUUAGAGGCCUAGGGGUUAAAAUAACCUUUACCUAUUCUUAAACUUUAAAUAUGUAAGAAGUCCUUGUUACUUAAUUAAACGUGGACACUUAAAUGUACUAUUACUAGUAGGCUAUUUUUAGUAAGCAGAACUAGUAAUGCGGGAUAAACUAAACGUAGGGUUAAGGUGCUAGAAUAUACGCUUAUUAGACACUACAAAAGGUGUUAGUUUAUCUAGACAGCAGGAUAGUAGCUAUAGAAGUUAGAAUCUACUAAGGAGUGUGUAAUAACUCACCUGCUAAAUAAACUAGCCCUAAAAAUAGAUGGCGCUUAAGCGUGUUACCUAUACCCCGCCGCCAGGGCAAGAUUUAAGCCCUAGCAAGUAGGCAGGCGUGGAGGCUUGUAACAAAGCCUUAGGGGUAACCCUAGGUAGAAUGGCCUCUAGUGCAGAUCUUGGUAGUAGUAGUAAAUACUUAAAUAAGAACUUUAAGGACUAAAGUAGGGAAAGGUUCUAUAUAAAUAGUAGUUAGACAUAGGUUAGUUAAUCCUAAGAGAUAGGGUAAUUCUAUUUUAAUGUUAGUGCUUACGCUGCGCCCUUAAAAGGGAAGCUAGUUAAUAUUCUAGCACCUAGAUGUAGAUUCUCCGCGGCAACGCAACUAAGAGCGGAGACCUUGGCAGGAGCCCUAAGAAGAGUUCUCUUUUCUUCUUAACAGUCUGUUACCCUAAAAUUGGUUUGUCUAGAGCUAGGGUUUAAUAGCUAGAAGAGCGCUGCACUUUUGCGGCGUUUAGUGCGCUCCUAACAAGCCUUAAAAAUCUGCUUAAAGAAAUAGUUUUUACGCUAGGUUAUACUUAUAACUAUAGUAGGUCUCUAAGGUAAAAAGCCUCUAGUUAAUAGAACAAUAUAGAUAAGGGAAGUUAGCAAAAUAGAUCUAUAACUUUAGGAAAAGGAUUAGCUCUAAGGGUUAGGUACGUUGGGCCUUAGAGAGAAGCCUCUAGCGUAGAAGGGCACUAACCGCAAGGUAGGCGCCUCUUAGCGCUAGGGUGCAGACACCCUUAGCAGGUUUUAGCCGUCUAGCGUAUAUUUAACAACUAACUUAGAACUAGUAUAGAUAAGGGGAAUCUAACUAUCUAAUUAAAAUAUAGCAUUGUAAUAGCUAGAAAGUAGUAUUAACGUAAUAUAAUUUCUGCCUAGUGCUCUAAAUGUUAAAGCGAAGAGAUUUAACUAAGCGCGGGUAAAUAGUAGGAGUAACUAUAACUCUCUUAAGGUAGCUAAAUGCCUUGUUAUCUAAUUAGUAACGCGCAUAAAUAGAUUAAUAAGAUUCCUACUAUCCCUAUCUACUAUCUAGUGAAACUAUAGCUAAGGGAACAGGCUUGGCUAAAUUAGCAGGGAAAGAAGACCCUAUUAAGCUUGACUCUAGUUUAACAUUAUAAAAAGAUAUAACAGGUGUAGAAUAGGUAGGAGCUUUAGCGCUAGUAAAAUACUACUACCCUUAUUGUUUUUUUACUUAUUUAAUAAAGUAGAGCUAGGCCUUACUACCUAACUUCUAGCGUUUAAGGUCCUUUAUAGGCUAAUCUAGGUUAAAGAUAUUAUUAGGUAGGGAGUUUAGCUAGGGCGGUAUAUCUAUUAAACUAUAACGCAGGUGUCCUAAGGGUGACUUAUAGAGAAUAGAAAUCUCUAGUAGAGUAAAAGGGUAAAAGUCCCCUUAAUUUUAAUUUUUAGUGUAAAUACAAACCAUAAAAGUAUAGCCUAUUAAUCCUUUAGUCCCUUAAAAUUUAAGGCUAGAGGUGCUAGAAAAGUUACCACAGGGAUAACUAGCUUGUGGCAGCCAAGCGUUUAUAGCGACGUUGCUUUUUAAUCCUUUAAUAUUAGCUCUUCCUAUUAUACUAAAGCAGAAUUUAGUAAGCGUUAGAUUGUUCACCUACUAAUAGGGAACGUAAGCUAGGUUUAGACCAUUGUAAGAUAGGUUAGUUUUACCCUACUAAUAACCUUGCCCUAAUAGUAAUACUACUUAGUACGAGAGGAACCGCGGUUUUAGAUAAUUAGUUUUUGCGGCUAUCUAACUAGGUAUUGCCGCGAAGCUACUAUCUGCUAGAUUAUAGCUAAACGCCUCUAAGUUAGAAUCUAUGCUAGAAUAGGGUGAUUUCCACCUACACUAGUUAGAUACAAAUAGGCCUUUGGCCCAGAACCUUACUAGAUUAGCGUUAGCAGCCCUAUUAAAGUUAGGGUUAUUAGCUAGUGUAUUGUAAUUGUACAGUGCGCAGGAUUAAAUCCUUUGCAGAUAACUUAGUUGUCUAGCUAGGUCGUGUAAGUAGUUAAGUAGCCUUGUUGUUACAAGCUACUAAGCGUAAGCCCGUUGCUAGCUUAGUUAAAAUUAGGAUAUUAUGCCCUCCUUAUUUGCAAAACUGCUGCCUAAACAGCUGCUGUUAAUAGAAGGAAGAGGGCUAUAGCGAACAAGUUAUAUAGUAAUUGCAAGAUAGAGAGGGCUAGAGCUAGGAGCAAUCCUCGCAAAAUAUACAAAAGAACAGGUUAUGUGUGUACGUACCUUAGGCAGUUAAUAUAUAGCAUAGGAAGAUUAAGAAAGGAUUUAAGAUAAUCUAUAUAGAUUUUUAGGCAGUGAUCUAUAACUUUAGGGCGUUCUAUAACUUUUUAUUUUUUAGGGGUAGUGUUCUAUAACUUUAGGGCGUUCUAUAACUUUAGGGCGUUCUAUAACUUUUUAUUUUUUAGGGGUAGUUUUCUAUAACUUUAGGGCGUUCUAUAACUCUUUCUUUUUUUAAGGUAGUGUUCUUUAACUUUUGGGCGUUCUAUAACUUUAGGGCGUUCUAUAACUUUGGUGCGUUCUACAACUUUUUAUUUUUUAGGUGUAGUGUUCUAUAACUUUAGGGCGUUCUAUAACUUUAGGGCGUUCUACAACUUUUUAUUUUUUAGGGGUAGUAUUCUAUAACUUUAGGGCGUUCUAUAACUUUAGGGCGUUCUAUAACUUUAGGGCGUUCUACAACUUUUUAUUUUUUAGGGGUAGUGUUUUAUAACUUUAGGGCGUUCUAUAACUUUUUCUUUUUUAGAGGUAGUGUUCUAUAACUUUAGGGCGUUCUAUAACUUUUUCUUUUUUAGAGGUAGUGUUCUAUAAUAUUAGAGUGUUCUAUAACUUUUUAUUUUUUAGGGUUAGUAUUCUAUAAUAUUAGAGUGUUCUAUAACUUUUUCUUUUUUAGAUGUAGUGUUCUAUAAUAUUAGAGUGUUCUAUAACUUUUUCUUUUUUAGAGGUAGUGUUCUAUAACUUUAGGGCGUUCUAUAACUUUAGGGCGUUCUAUAACUUUAGGGCGUUCUACAACUUUUUAUUUUUUAGGUGUAGUGUUCUAUAACUUUAGGGCGUUCUAUAACUUUAGGGCGUUCUAUAACUUUAGGGCGUUCUACAACUUUUUAUUUUUUAGGGGUAGUGUUUUAUAACUUUAGGGCGUUCUAUAACUUUUUCUUUUUUCGAGGUAGUGUUCUAUAACUUUAGGGCGUUCUAUAACUUUUUCUUUUUUAGAGGUAGUGUUCUAUAAUAUUAGAGUGUUCUAUAACUUUUUAUUUUUUAGGGUUAGUAUUCUAUAAUAUUAGAGUGUUCUAUAACUUUUUCUUUUUUAGAGGUAGUGUUCUAUAAUAUUAGAGUGUUCUAUAACUUUUUCUUUUUUAGAAGGAGUGUUCUAUAACUUUAGGGCGUUCUAUAACUUUAGGGCGUUCUAUAACUUUUUAUUUUUUAGGGUUAGUAUUCUAUAAUAUUAGAGUGUUCUAUAACUUUUUCUUUUUUAGAGGUAGUGUUCUAUAACUUUAGGGCGUUCUAUAACUUUUUAUUUUUUAGAUAUAGUGUUCUAUAACUUUAGGGCGUUCUAUAACUUUAGGGCGUUCUAUAACUUUUUACUUUUUAGUUUUUAGGGUUUGUGUUCUAUUAGCUUAGCGCGUUCUACAACUUUUUAUUUUUAGGGGUAGCAUUCUAUAACUUUAGGGCGUUCUAUAACUUUAGGGCCUUCUAUAAGCUUAGGGCGUUCUAUAACUUUAGGGCGUUCUAUAACUUUAGGGCGUUCUAUAACUUUUUAUUUUUUAGGGUUAGUGUUCUAUAACUUUAGCGCGUUCUAUACCUUUUAUUUAUUCUAUUACUUUAGUCCUUUCUAUAACUUUAGACUAUUCUAUACUAGUAGCUAUUAUAUCCUUUUUAUAAUACUUAUUAUAUCAUACUAUUAUCUAUUAUUCUUUACUAUUAAGUAUAUCCUUAUAUUUUAUAAAACCUUUUCUCUACUAGCUAGUCCUACUAUACUUUCUUUUAUAACCUACUAGUAUUAAAUAAUACCUUUAUAUUCUUCUUUUAUACUAUCUCUAUUUCUUGCCUUAUCUAUUAAGUAGAUAUAGAUAGAGCUAAUAGAUCUAUAGUUAAUAUAGAUAUAGUAGUUAUAGUAAAGUAUAGAUAUUAGAGUAGAUAUCCUUAUCUAUAUAUUUACCUACUACUAAUAAAAUUCUAAGUUACUCUUAUCUAGCAAAUACAGGUUUAUAGUUUGUAUAGGGCUGCGCAUGUCUACACGGUUUUAUAUACAAAAAAGUAUACCUCUAAGCUAUUUUCCGCCGCACUAACCCCGCGACGCAAAAAUUAAACUAAAACCUAUUCCUAUAAUAUAUAAGGAGAGCAAAUAGAUUCUUAAAUACUAAAUACCUAACUAACUAACUAAGGUUAAAUCUGCUGCGCGUAGUUCUUGGAUUAGGCAGUUAAACUAGCAUUAUUAGGCACUAAGGGGGCAAUUUUUGCUUGUGUCCGCGUCUAUACUCCCUAUAACUCCCUAUUAUUAGCGCUCUACGCCUAUUUUAGCAGCAGUUAGACUAAAUUUAAAAGUUUUAGUUUUAUAAUAGCUAGCCUUGUUUCCUAGAUUUCUACCUAGUUUAGAUUUACUCUAAUUAGUAGGUAAUUAGGGGCUUAGAGAUUACUCUUCUACUUAACUAGGCAGGCCUAGGCCUAUAUGCUAAAGCAACCCUGCUAUUACGCCUAGUUUUGUGGUUAGCACCUAAAGUCCUACUAUUAAAGUUUUAGCAGUAGGCAAAAUUUAGGGUCUGUAGAUAGCUAGCACUGCCAAACUAUUUAACAGAUCUUAGGGGACAGCCCUGCCUAGCAUCUGCUCCUAGUAAGCGUAGCAAAGCGUGGGUUUUCUCUACUUAAGGCAUAUAUAUGGCGAGUUUAAACACGCAGAAACACCUAUUAGGCUUUGUUACAGACUAUUCCUUAAGAAACUUAGUAGGGGCAAUUAAAUUAGUUACUAGUUGUAACUAGUGCCUUAUGUGCUAUUAUGCUAGUAGCUAGAAUUGCUUCUGCAAUUUCUUAUCACGUACUUUCUGCCUCCUUUUAGGGGUAGUGCUUGUGCGCUUUGGCGUAUUAGGUAUUAGGAUUAUUACCUAGUUAAUUCUACUAGUAGUUAUAUACUUAUCUUAAAGAUUAAGCUAUAUAUAUCUAAGUAUAAGUAAUUAUACUAUAAAACUACAAAUAGCUUAUUAAAUUAGUUAUUAUUUAUUUAAUAGUACCUUACUACUUAGAUAACUAUAGUAAUUCUAGAGCUAAUACAUGCUAAAAACCCUAACUUUAGAAGGGGUGUAUUUAUUAGAUAAAAAACUAACGCCCUUUAGGGCUUCUUAGUAAUUUAUAAUAACUUUAUAGAUUAUAUAGCCUUACGCUAGCGAUAGUUUAUUUAAAUUUCUGCCCUAUUAACUUUU
rnacentral:rRNA from 1 species